CACGUAGGGGGCGAGCGUUGUCCGGAUUUAUUGGGCGUAAAGAGCUCGUAGGCGGCUCAGUAAGUCGGGUGUGAAAACUCCAGGCUCAACCUGGAGACGCCACCUGAUACUGCUGUGGCUAGAGUCCGGUAGGGGAGCAUGGAAUUCCUGGUGUAGCGGUGAAAUGCGCAGAUAUCAGGAAGAACACCCGUGGCGAAAGCGGCUCCUCUGGGACGGUACUGACGCUGAGACGCGAAAGCGUGGGGAGCGAACAGG
rnacentral:rRNA from 1 species